UUUUGUUUCGCACGUUAGGUAUGAGGUUUAGAAGACGGGUCCAAGCAGCAAACAUGGCGGGCAGCUGCCGCUUGUUUACACAAGAAACAUGGAAAAACUGGGACAAAUCUGGCAAGGGAGAAGUGGUCCAGAUGAUAAAGCAGCUGAUCAAAGAUAAUCCAGAUAAUCCAGGAUUAUCCAAACCUAACCAAGUCAAAGACCUCUCUCGUGCUCUCUACGAACUCCUUUCUGCAAUCUUGAAAGGCCAACUUCGAAGAGAUUAUGCACGACCUCUUCUCACAGAUAUGAUUAAUUGGCAUCCAGAUAUGGCCUCACAGCUGGUGGAAGUAUCAACACUGCUGGAUCUGGAGACGUCUACCAUUGAUCGACUCAACAAAAAUCGUGACCAGUUUUUGGCACUGCUCAAGUCCCUUGAUGCAGAUAAACUGAUGAAGGAAAGAUUAGAAAUUGAAACUUUAGGAGAAGGAGGCAUUGUUAAGAAUAAGAAAAAUUUUCACACAAAGCAGAUUAAAGUCAAGACCAAAUUAUUUUAUAAACAACAGAAAUUUAACCUAUUACGUGAAGAGACUGAAGGCUACGCCAAGCUUAUAACUGAACUCAAUCAAGACAUAAGCAGCAGAGUAACACCGAGCUCCAUCAUUGAAGUUAUACGUAGCCUUAUUGGUGGUUUUAAUUUGGAUCCAAAUCGAGUGUUGGAUCUUAUAUUGGAAUCAUUAGAAUGCCGUCCAGAGCAACACCAGUUUUAUACCGGUCUGCUGAAUCUAUACCCCUGUGAGUCGGCCACCAUUAGUGAGCUGCUUGGGUUCAAGCUCAACACCUACUCAAGCAGUGGAAAGGAUGCAAAAGGAAUCUAUACGACAAUUGCCCUACUUAUACAGGCUGAUAUUUUAAAACUUUCAGAUAUUUAUAUAUGGUUAACACCAGAGGAUUCAGUAAUGAUUGAAGACUACCAGAAGGAGGAAAAUGAGGCAAGGGAAAUUGCCCACAAAGUAAAUAUAGUUUCCACUAAAGACAAGGAUAGAGAAAAAGAAAAGGAAAAAGAAAGAGAAGAUGAAGAAAAAGAAAAAGAUGAACAUAGGCACUUUGAAAGAUACAGCACUAACCAAAAGAUUCAACUCUGCGUUGCUCUGUUAAAGGUUGGUGCGUGGGAACACUUCGUGGAACUCUCAAGACGCUUCCCAGAUUAUUACCUCGUAUCUAUUCAUCCUGUUAGUCAAGCCCUUUGCCAGUUGAUACAUGCUACUAUUGAACCAAUUUACAGAAAGGUGUGCACUCUACCUAGUCGACUCAAAGGGACGGUUGUUGAACUACUCAAUAACCCACUGGCUCCUCGGCCAGCAUAUAACUUCAAUGAUGUGUGUACAACAAUAUUUCCGAUGCUAAGCACUUUGGGGCCACAUCUGUACAUCGACCCUGGCCUAAUGUACAAGGUUCUCCGUGUAGCCCGAGUGGCACUAAAACAGGUUAAAGUUGGAGCUGAUGGAGUUCGCAACACAUUCUAUUAUGAGUUCCUUGAUGUUUUGGAUGAAGCUCUUCUUCCAUCGCUCUCCAUGCUGGACUCCAACCCGUGCCUCGCUGAAGAAAUUUGGGACACCCUAAAGAUGUACCCCUAUCAGCAUAGAUACAAGCUUUAUGGGCGGUGGAAAAAUGAGUCGAGUAAUCAGCAUCCCAUGCUUGUGAAGCAUCACGCUAGACUCCUCAAGAAGGCCAAAUUUAUUAUGAUGCGAAUCACGAAGGAGACCAUAAAACCUGUGAGUCGGGGAAUUGGCAAACUCACUCACAACAAUCCAGGACCAGUUUUUAAUUAUAUUUUGAUACAAGUUCAGCUAUAUGAUAACCUCAUUACUCCAGUUGUGGACAGUUUCAAGUACCUAACAUCUCUCUCGUAUGACGUUCUGGGCUACUGCAUUGUCGAAAUCCUCUCUGAAAAUAAGGACAGAAUAGCUAUUGAUGCAACAAACAUAUCUUCAUGGUUACAGUCACUAGCAAGUUUCUGUGGGUUUGUAUACAAGAAGUAUAUCAUAGAUUUGGGUGGAAUUCUUCAGUUUGUUGCAAAUCAACUGAAGGCUGAAAAAUCUAUUGACCUGCUUAUCCUGCGGGAAAUUGUUCAGAAAAUGGGUGGUACGGAUACCCUUGAGGAUUUAACGCCAGAACAGCUGGAUGCUAUGUGUGGAGGGGAGUUGCUGCGCCGGGAGGCGGGUCAGUAUCAACAGGAAAGAAACACAAAGAGGUCUUCCAUUCGUCUCAAGGAAGCUCUCUUGGAGAACAAAUUAGCAAUUCCUUUGUUGUUGCUCAUGGCUCAACAGCGCUCAUCUGUAGUAUACAAUCAGACCGAGUCUCCUCAUCUCAAGCUGGUUGGGAAGCUUUAUGACCAGUGUCAAGACACAAUGGUGCAAUUUGGUUCAUAUCUCUUUCAAGUAGUGACAAUCGAAGAGCUUAGUGAUCGCUUGCCUAGCAUUGGUACUCUUCUGUCAGACUGCCACAUUAAUGCAGAUGUUGCAUUCUUCCUUGCACGUCCACUGUUUAUACACAUGCUAAAUUCAAAAUACGACGAGCUGAGACGUCAGGACAAGGGAGAGAAGAAGUUAACACUGGAGCAAAAGAAGCUGCGUUACAUUGAAGCUUGUAAUGAUGUGUUUGUGCCGAUUGUUUCCAGCAUCAGACCUCACUUCAGCAUUAAAGUGUGGGAGGAUAUGGAUCCUUCAUUCUUCCUCACUUUUUGGACCCUAACAAUGUCUGAUCUGGAAGUGCCUGUACACAUGUAUGAAAAGGAAAUCAAGAAAAUUGAUCCAAAUGCAUCGGCAAAUAAGAGGAAGAAGGAAGCGGAUCGCUUACUAGCAUUAAAGGAAAAACUCCAGGAGGAGGAAAAACGGCAGAAAGAGCACGUUGAUCGUGUUCACGCUAGAUUACAGCAGGAAAAGGACCGUUGGUUCAUGCUGCGUGCUGCACGGUCUCCCAAGAAUGACACAGUUACAGCUUUUCUUCAGCUUUGUCUAUUUCCACGGUGCACCUUCACAGCUCUAGAUGCUAUAUACUGUGCUAAGUUUGUGAAGAUGCUGCAUAACCUCAAAACUCCAAACUUUUCUACGCUCAUUUGCUAUGAUCGCAUGUAUUGUGACAUAACCUACACAGUAGCCUCAUGCACAGAACAGGAGGCAAGCAGAUAUGCAAGAUUCCUGCUGGGGACCUUGGAGACAGUGAUGCAUUGGCAUGCAUCACAAACUAACUAUGAGAGAGAGUGUGCCAACUACCCAGGGUUUGUCACUAAAUAUCGUGUCUCCAGGCAGGAAGCAAAUGAUUAUGUAGACUAUGAAAACUACCGCCAUGUCGUUCAUAAGUGGCACUAUAAAAUAACAAAGGCUCUGGUGACAUGCUUGGAGAGUAGGGACUACAUUCAGAUACGCAACGCAAUCCUUAUUCUACAAGGGAUUAUUCAGCGGUUUCCUGCCAUUAGCAACCUUGCUGCAGUCAUAGAGAAAAGAAUAGAAAAGGUUAAAAUGGAAGAGCGUAGCCAUCGAAACGAUCUUUAUGUUCUAGCUAAUAGCUACUCGGGCCGACUAAAAUCCAUCAAACCCAACAUCAUGCCUGAGACAGAGUUCCACAUUGUCCCUAAACGUCCUCAGGCAGCAAAGGUUGUUAAUGGAACACCAGAGAACACCAAUACCCCUUCAGGAGGUGAAGCAAAACCAAGUGGAGAGUCGAUAGAAAAUAAGAUUGGGAAGAUGAUAGUCGCUGACUCUACUAAUGGGGAUGUGGAGCUCAAGGAUGAGAAAGACGACAAGGAGGCCAAGAAGGCAGAGGUAUCCAGCAAAUCUUCUAAGGAUAAAAAAGAAACUAUAGAGAAAAAAGGUAAUGAUGAUGUAGAAAUUAAAAAGGAGGACAAGGAGAAGAAAGAAAAAGAGAAAGACAGAGACAAGAAGGAGGACCGGGAGGAGAAAUCGAGGAAGAGAUCUAAGGAGUCUAAAAGAUCAAAGUAUGAGGAUGAGGACUUUGGGGAGCCAGAAAGAGAUGAGCGAACUUCAGGGGGCAAUGCAGAACGGGAACGGGAGAGCAGUGUCACGUCCAACACGUCAUCAACCUCAACGAAGAUGGAGCCACCUGAAGUUUCUCCAAGAGGGUCAAAGCGACGCAAGACUGAACAUAGCUCCAAGGGUGCAUUAUAUGAAGUGAGUGAUAUUGACAUGUUUAAUUAUCUGAUGAGUUUUGAAUAUAGAAAAGCAAUUAAAAUAUCAGUAAUUGAAGACACAUUUGUAGGAAAUAAGAUAGAGAUAACGUGAGUGUUUUGAUUAGACAUAGUACCAGUACUGUAUAAGAAACGAAGCAAAAUCCAAAAGUGCAAUAAAUCUUCGGUAUGAGGUAAUGCGAAGGGGCAUUGAAACAGCAACCCAGAAAAGAGGAUGUAUGUGUAAAGAAGGGAUUGUGUGAGAGGCAGCAACACGCAUCUCUGUAAGAGAGCAGCUGGUGUGUCAAGUGCGUGGCUAAGGUCUUGACUAGCAGUCUAGCAAGCUGUUCACUCCUCGCUUGUGGCAGGCAAGAUGAGGCUCAGAUCAAUCAGGCUCAGAGAAAUGAGUACACCAAGAGGACAGCAGAGCAGUAGUUUAAAAAGACAUUGCAGCAAAAGGAAUGAGCCAAACUAAGCUGUUGCACUGCCAAAUGCAAAGAAAACAACUGCACGAGACCAUGUGAUCAGACUGCGCGGACUGAGGAACACUCUUGGCGAAUGACAGACGUAUGUGGAGAACUCUUCGAGGGGUUCCAGAAGGUCAACCAUCCGGAACCAGAUUGAUGUCCAAGGAGAGGUGACAACAAACAACCAGAGCAACACUAAAAAAAUUUAAAGUUAAUGAACAAGAGGUGAAAAGACACCUGAAGGAACUGGAUAUAGCAAAAGCAGUAGGACCAGACCAGAUAUCACCAUGGUUACUAAAGAAAGCUGCAAGGAUCUUGUGUUACCCAAUAACUAUAAUAAACUUUAUACAAGAGAUAUGAGAGCUACCAGAAAUCUGAAUUAAGGAAAAAAUAGUAACAAUAUUCAUGAAAGGGGACAGGCAUGAAGUACUAAACUAUAGACUAGUGUCAUUGACACAAGUUCUCACUGUCCUCCCACUUGCACUCACCGUCUGCCUAUCUGCCCACAAACACCAACCUGAACAUGUGCUUCUGCUCUCCAUUUUAUUGACCUCUUCUCCUCUCUAUGUACUGUACAGUACUGUGGUUCUAUUUUUGUUCAAUGUACAUAUGUUCACACACACACAGAGAGAGAGGAGAAGCAUUUUUAUUUUCAAGGUUAUUUCAUAUUUUUAUGUAGGGGUACCAUCACUGGUGUUUGUGGGAAGCCUUUGUCUCGGAGAAGACAAUAUGCAUCCCCCUCCCCCCAGCUAUUUUUUUGUUUUGUUUUUAUUGUAGAAUAUGCCUGAAAUACCUUUCUUGAUCACCUGAAAUAUAUACUAUCUAGUAUAGUUGCUGUAUAUCAACUCUUGGAUUACAUUUAGUUGAUACUUAUGCUAUAUCCUGUAAGUGGAGAAACACCAGGAGCUAAAUCUGCUUUUCAUUUCUUAUUUCAUUUGACUAUUCAUAGUCUGAUAGUGCUUUUUCAUUGGAAAAGAGAUAUACACUAGAUAUUAUAUCAGAAAAUUAAGAUAGAAUUUUAUAGUUUGAUUCAAAAUGUGUUGCGAAGUCACCAAGAAUGGGAAUUAUGCGACUGGUGUAUAAACAAAAAACUACAAAAAAUAAACUGGGUCAAUGGGUAAGUUUGGAGAACAGGUUCCAGAGAAAAUUUUGGUCUAUAACAUGGUUAUUUUCUCCAAUUGUAGGGUAUCUAAAAUGUGUUUGUGAAUAUUUAAUUUAUUAAAUAGCAAAGAAGGAUAAGAAUGUUAUGGUAUUGAAUGAUUAAAUGUCUGACAAGCUAUGAUAAAGAAACUUUUAUGCAGUAUGUGAUUUAAAUGCCCCAGUAAGGAAAUAAAAGUGGUGGAUAUUGUGGAGUGUCAUGCAUUGUGAGGAUACAGAGUGAUGUCCAUCUAGAACUUUAUAUAGAGAUCAGUUAAUUUUAAAUUGUAAGUUACAUGAUAGUUUAUGUAAUGAGCAAACUAGAGGUUAAUGUUAAGACAAUGAGGAAAGUGCUCUACAAUUCCAACUACUGAAUGUUGUUGGGAUGACCAAACUGACUCGGGGUUAGAUUGAUGUAACGCAAAUGAUUUCAACCGAGAGAUCCCAGUUUCAAUUACUGUGACUGGACAGUUAGGCAAAUUUUCUUUCACCUGAUGAAACUGUUCACCUUGUUGUAAAUAUUGUAGGUACCUAGGAGUUUAAUAACAGCUGUGGGUUACAUCUUGGGGAAGGUCAGUCAUUGACCUAGUUGGACCUUAGGUUAACAGGCUUCUUGUCCGUGAAAUUGGGAAACCAAACCAAAUGAAGAUGGAGAGUCACAAUAAUGUGGCUGAAAAUGUUGACCAAACCAUACUAGAAAGUAAAGAGACGACGCCUCUUUGCCUCCUUCCUCUCAUCACAAUUGACUUAAUAAUGGUCCAGGACGGACUGAAACGUUGUCGUCUCUUCAUUUUCUAGUGUGUGGUUUGGUCAGCAACCAAAUGAAGUCGGAGAGAGACGAGAGCAUGAUCACUUUAAUGAUCCUGCCUAACAGCACAUUCCCGACUAAAUGUUCUGGGCAUUUCCCACUUUGUGAUGCCUAAAAAUGCUUGUAUUCUUUUUACUUUCUUGAAGUUUUUUAAUUUAUAAUAAUAAAUUUGGUGUCAAAAGUUUACAAAUAAAUUUGCCAGAAUAUAGAUGCCACACAAAAUGUGUUUUAAUCAUGUCUUAAGGGGUGUUAUAAUAGAUAGUGAAGAUAAUAUUAACAAUUUUAUUAUCUUUUCAACAUUCCUCAUCUAAUUUUAACCACUGCACUGCACCACCCUAAGGCGUUGCACAAGCCGAGAAAACCCGAUUUUAAGAUAUCGUAAGGUUCAAAACAUGCGCGGUGGGUUGGACACCUGGGCUGCCAAAAAAAUUCUCGGUAUGCUCUUAGAGCUGCUGGCUGGCUCAGUUCUGAGUGAGCAACCAUGGGUGGCACAUGCUCUUCUGGCUCCCAGUUCCCUGUCAGACGCGGUGUUGAAAGAUCGCUUUCUGACGGUGAAAUUCAGACUUUAUUAUUUGAAGAAGAUAAAGGUAGUGAUAUUGAUGAAGCUAGGCACAAUAAAGACCUAACACAAGUGUCUGGUACAAGUGAUACAGCGAGCGUAUCCAAUAGAGGCUGAGCUUUAGGUGUGCUGCUGCCUCCCAGGCCAUCACACUCACUAUUAUCAUCACCACCAUGUCAUCUCCAAUUUUUGAAUAGAGUGAUACUACAGAUGAAUUGUUUCUGGGUUCAGUGAUGAUGCUUCUGAUACAAGUAGCAUAGAUGAACAGUGUGUUAGCAGCUUCCAUGGUGGUGUUUAUUGCCUGUGGUGGUGGUGCCAGUACAAAGAGCAUGGGUGAAUUUGUGAGUGAGGACUGUGAUAAUUUUGUACCACACAAACCACAAUUUGAGGAUUCUGAUGUUGGUGUUGCACCCACUUUCCAUAUACCGGUGAAGAUAUGAGUGAUACCAGGACAGACUUUGUCAUUGAUCUUUUCCUAGAUCUUUUCAAGACUACACUUCACAAGCUUGGCUACAUACCACUUACAGGAACUAAAGCCAUGGGUGUACAUGAGUGUUGUUUGUAAGCACAGAGAACGAAGAAACAGGAAGUGAAAAUCUGUGUACCUGGUGCAUAGAGUGCAAAGUCGUGCUGUGUAUCAUGCACUGCUGCUUUGAUUAUCACUCAUUUUUGAAGUACUGAGUAUGUAAUACAGUGUAUGACUAUAAAUAGUGUGUGUGCGUACAGUGUAAAUAAAUUGAAUAAGUAAUAUUGCGACAAUAAAAAAAAUUUGUGGACUCAUUAGUGACACAUGUAUCACAGUUCCUUGAAACAUUAUGAACAUUCUACUGAGUACAUAUUGUAAAGGACACAAAUGUGUAUCUGAUACAAUAAAAAAAACUAAUUAAAAAGCAUUGACAAAAUUAAUGAAAAUAUAUUUGUGGCAACUCGCGGGUCUUGAAUAGCCUGUGCGCACCUGCCUCUUGGAGCUUCCUGCACAGGCGAAUGCGCAUUGGUGAUGUCACAUAGCAUCCUCUCCAGAUCGCCACAUCCAAAGUAAGUUGUUUUUAUAUGUACCUGAACAUGUACAUGUUCAGGCAAGGGAUUUUAAUAAUUUAAUUUUUUUUUUGGGGGGGGGGGAAGUUACCAUGGAAAACACUGGUGAACACUUUAUUUUCCGAGCACCACCAGAAUGUCACAAUAAACACGGUACAGCAUGGAGGUUAAACAUAAAAUUAAAAAUGAUGGAAAUGUGCACACAUGAUUGUGUCUAUAUCUCAGUAAAAAAAAAAAAAAUACUUCUCCGGAGUGGUAAGGAGUUGAUCUCCGGAUGAUGCCCUGAUAAGUUAUUCAUGAACUACUACUACUACUUCUU
rnacentral:misc_RNA from 1 species